rnacentral:rRNA from 1 species
AGAGUUUGAUCAUGGCUCAGAUUGAACGCUGGCGGCAUGCUUUACACAUGCAAGUCGAACGGUAACAGGCCGCAAGGUGCUGACGAGUGGCGAACGGGUGAGUAAUGCAUCGGAACGUGCCCAGUCGUGGGGGAUAACGCAGCGAAAGCUGUGCUAAUACCGCAUACGAUCUAUGGAUGAAAGCGGGGGACCGUAAGGCCUCGCGCGAUUGGAGCGGCCGAUGUCAGAUUAGCUAGUUGGUGGGGUAAAGGCCCACCAAGGCGACGAUCUGUAGCUGGUCUGAGAGGACGACCAGCCACACUGGGACUGAGACACGGCCCAGACUCUUACGGGAGGCAGCAGUGGGGAAUUUUGGACAAUGGGCGCAAGCCUGAUCCAGCAAUGCCGCGUGCAGGAAGAAGGCCUUCGGGUUGUAAACUGCUUUUGUACGGAACGAAACGGUCUGGGUUAAUACCCUGGGCUAAUGACGGUACCGUAAGAAUAAGCACCGGCUAACUACGUGCCAGCAGCCGCGGUAAUACGUAGGGUGCAAGCGUUAAUCGGAAUUACUGGGCGUAAAGCGUGCGCAGGCGGUUUUGUAAGACAGUCGUGAAAUCCCCGGGCUCAACCUGGGAAUUGCGAUUGUGACUGCAAAGCUGGAGUGCGGCAGAGGGGGAUGGAAUUCCGCGUGUAGCAGUGAAAUGCGUAGAUAUGCGGAGGAACACCGAUGGCGAAGGCAAUCCCCUGGGCCUGCACUGACGCUCAUGCACGAAAGCGUGGGGAGCAAACAGGAUUAGAUACCCUGGUAGUCCACGCCCUAAACGAUGUCAACUGGUUGUUGGGUCUCUUCUGACUCAGUAACGAAGCUAACGCGUGAAGUUGACCGCCUGGGGAGUACGGCCGCAAGAUUAAAACUCAAA